GGUGGGUUUAAUGAUCUGCAAAUAUAAUGUGCGCCGCGGCAGUAAAGAUGCGUUUAAAGGCGAGGAGGAGGAACUCUAUACCCACGGAGCCGCACUAGGAUGGGGCUGGUUUGCCCGGGCGCACGCCACUGCUUUCACCGGAUGAGGGAAAUGCGACAUUCUCCAACGGAUGAUGGAACAUAAAGAGACCGGGUGAUUAAGGGAAUGUAUAUAUUGGAACAAAGUCCGCAACGAGACAUGGCUGCAGGAGCAUGGAAACGGAUCCCCACAUGCAGCUAGGGUUGAAGAGUUAAACAGAAUACCAGCCACAUAAUGGAUAUUUACAAGUUGGGUUCGUCGGCUCCUUGGUUUCCCUCCCGCCCUGGUAACUGCUGGACCAGUGAAUGUGCGUCAUGUAUUGGCGAGGAGAACGUGGGUACGUCACCUGAGAGGCACAGUGGGGUGGACCUUGUCGGAUGACAAAGUCAGCCGAUGAGCCUAGUACACCUGUUCCACUUGGAAGACCACAGUACACUGAACAGGGAUGGAUGCUGUGAGGAACAUGGCUCUUGGGCUCCCCCUUGAUAUGAUUCUCAAAGGGAGAAUCUGAGUACAGCAGCACUUCACUUAGUGCUCUGAGAAGGGCCUAAGUGCAGAAGCUAUGGCCCACCCACCUUACUACUACAGCAAAUGGUGCAUCCUCUAGCCCCCUAGUAAACGGAGCUGCAGCAUUAGGAAACCAGAGGAGCCAACAAGGCUGAACUGUAGAGGCUUAGGGGGGGAAUCUUCCAGUGAUUAUAAAUUAAAUGAUUUUGUUUGUACUGUACGUUAUGACUAGUGAAGGCUGUUGGGAGCAGAGUGCUACACUCAGGUCCUUGGACAAGGGCUUGUCAUCAGCCUCUUUUGGACUACACCUCUGAGGAGUACUGUCGACCGGCAUGCCAGUGAGCACUCCAACAGCUCCAUGGACCCUCACUUAUUCCAGUCAUGUUAAUGGGAUAUGUGAUGCUACAGCUGGGACAUUGGUAGAAGCCUCUGACAAGUACCGCUAAUAAGAUCAUUCUAAGGACACACACACACGACCUAUUUUGUAAUUCUACCAACAUUGUAUCCGGAGGCCCAUUGUGAUUCCUCAAACUUCACUAUCAGUGAGUGAGUUGUUUUCUCAUUGCUAAAUUAGAUUGCAUUAAUUAUAUUUUUGCAACAGUGUAUUAAGAUAUUCAUACUGAAUACUGAAACAAUAUAUAUGUUAAAC